rnacentral:lncRNA from 1 species
AUCUUCAUGAUCCACGUAAUUGCCUUCACAUGUUGUAAUAGAAAUUUAAUAAGUCUUUAAUUUCGUUGCACUGUAGUCGUUUCUUUCGUCAAGCUUAUCAUUGGAUGUUUAGUUGUCAAUCACCAUGUCUGUAUUCAAAUUAUUACCAAGUUUAGGGAGCGAAAGUGAACUCUUGGAUUGUUGUCAGGAUGUAGAAUAUGUUUAAUUGGGAAGCUUCAAUUGCGUUUUUUAUAGAGAGUUUGAAGCAUUGUGAGUAAAAUCAGAUAAAAUUAGGGUUUAAAGAUACGUAGUAUACCUCAAAGUGCAACAGUGGAACCAGUGUUGCAUUUAAUUUCGGUGGUUUGCUUAGCUACACUUUUUACGUUAUUUAAAAGGGAAAAACGAAUGCUGGUCUGUGCGUUAAAAUACUAAUUGUGCUCCGAAUCCCUAAUUUCGCAACGUUAACUUGCAUCCAAUCUACACCAAAACGCUUUUCUUUCGUUCCUAGCAAGGUUUGCUGAGCUGUUUUCCAUACUACGCUCA